GACGAACGCUGGCGGCGUGCUUAACACAUGCAAGUCGAACGGAAAGGCCCUGCCUUUGUGGGGUGCUCGAGUGGCGAACGGGUGAGUAACACGUGAGUAACCUGCCCUUGACUUUGGGAUAACUUCAGGAAACUGGGGCUAAUACCGGAUAGGAGCUCCUGCUGCAUGGUGGGGGUUGGAAAGUUUCGGCGGUUGGGGAUGGACUCGCGGCUUAUCAGCUUGUUGGUGGGGUAGUGGCUUACCAAGGCUUUGACGGGUAGCCGGCCUGAGAGGGUGACCGGCCACAUUGGGACUGAGAUACGGACCAGACUCCUACGGGAGGCAGCAGUGGGGAAUAUUGCACAAUGGGCGGAAGCCUGAUGCAGCAACGCCGCGUGCGGGAUGACGGCCUUCGGGUUGUAAACCGCUUUCGCCUGUGACGAAGCGUGAGUGACGGUAAUGGGUAAAGAAGCACCGGCUAACUACGUG
rnacentral:rRNA from 1 species